CACCGCGGUUAAACGGCGAACUCAAGUUGAUAAUGCACGGCGUAAAGCGUAGUUAAGGUGUGAUAAUAAAUAGGGCCAAAGAACCCCAAAGCAGUUCAAUGCAUUCGGAGCCACGAAACACAUCAACGAAAGUAACCCUAGUAAAUCUGACGCUACGAAAGCUAGAGUA
rnacentral:rRNA from 1 species